rnacentral:snRNA from 11 species
UACGAAGGUGGUUUUCCCAGGGUGAGGCUUUUCUAUUGCACUCCGGAUGUGCUGACCCCGCGAUUUCCCCAAAUGUGGGGAGACUCAACUGCAUAAUCUCUGUUGGCACUC